rnacentral:rRNA from 1 species
AGUCAAUCUACCCUAUGGACGUGGAUAACCUCGGGAAACUGAGAAUAAUACACGAUAGAUCAUUAUGCCUGGAAUGGCUUAUGAUUGAAAUGAUUUAUCGCCGUAGGAUGGGACUGCGGCCUAUCAGCUUGUUGGUGAGGUAAUGGCCCACCAAGGCUAUAACAGGUACGGGCUCUGAGAGGAGAAGCCCGGAGAUGGGUACUGAGACACGGACCCAGGCCCUAUGGGGCGCAGCAGGCGAGAAACCUUAGCAAUGUGCGAAAGCACGACUAGGUUAAUCCGAGUGAUUUCUGUUGAAGAAAUCUUUUGUCAGUUCUAAAACUACCGAUGAAUAAGGGGUGGGCAAGUCUGGUGUCAGCCGCCGCGGUAAUACCAGCACCUCGAGUGGUCAGGAGGUUUAUUGGGCCUAAAGCAUCCGUAGCCGGCUUUGCAAGUCUCCGGUUAAAUCCAGCUGCCUAACAGAUGGGCUGCCGGAGAUACUACAAAGCUAGGGAGCGGGAGAGGUAGACGGUAUUCGGUGGGUAGGGGUAAAAUCCUCUGAUCCAUUGAGGACCACCAGUGGCGAAGGCGGUCUACCAGAACGCGUUCGACGGUGAGGGAUGAAAGCUGGGGGAGCAAACCGGAUUAGAUACCCGGGUAGUCCCAGCUGUAAACGAUGCAAACUCGGUGAUGCAUUGGCUUAUGGCCAAUGCAGUGCCGCAGGGAAGCCGUUAAGUUUGCCGCCUGGGAAGUACGGUCGCAAGACUGAAACUUAA